AGGGUUUGAUCAUGGCUCAGAUUGAACGCUGGCGGCAUGCUUUACACAUGCAAGUCGAACGGCAGCACGGGGGUAACCCUGGUGGCGAGUGGCGAACGGGUGAGGAAUGCAUCGGAACGUGUCUUCAAGUGGGGGAUAACGCAUCGAAAGGUGUGCUAAUACCGCAUAAUCUCUGAGGAGAAAAGCAGGGGAUCGCAAGACCUUGCGCUUUUGGAGCGGCCGAUGCCUGAUUAGCUUGUUGGUGAGGUAAAAGCUCACCAAGGCUUCGAUCAGUAGCUGGUCUGAGAGGACGACCAGCCACACUGGGACUGAGACACGGCCCAGACUCCUACGGGAGGCAGCAGUGGGGAAUUUUGGACAAUGGGGGCAACCCUGAUCCAGCCAUGCCGCGUGAGUGAAGAAGGCCUUCGGGUUGUAAAGCUCUUUCAGCCGGAACGAAACGGUUACGGUUAAUACCCGUGACUACUGACGGUACCGGAAGAAGAAGCACCGGCUAACUACGUGCCAGCAGCCGCGGUAAUACGUAGGGUGCGAGCGUUAAUCGGAAUUACUGGGCGUAAAGCGUGCGCAGGUGGUUUUGUAAGUCAGAUGUUGAAAUCCCCGGGCUUAACCUGGGCAACUGCGUUUGAAACUGCAAGGCUAGAGUGUGGUAU
rnacentral:rRNA from 1 species